rnacentral:rRNA from 1 species
GACGUAGGGCGCGAGCGUUUGUCCGGAAUUAUUGGGCGUAAAGAGCUCGUAGGCGGUCUGUUGCGUCCGCUGUGAAAACUCGGGGCUUAACCCCGAGCCUGCAGUGGAUACGGGCAGACUAGAGGUAGGUAGGGGAGAAUGGAAUUCCCGGUGUAGCGGUGAAAUGCGCAGAUAUCGGGAGGAACACCGGUGGCGAAGGCGGUUCUCUGGGCCUUACCUGACGCUGAGGAGCGAAAGCGUGGGGAGCGAACAGG